rnacentral:tRNA from 1 species
GCGGGUAUAGUUCAUCGGUAGAACGUCAGCUUCCCAAGCUGAACAGGAGGGUUCGACUCCCUUUAUCCGCUCCA